CCUACGGGAGGCUGCAGUGAGGAAUAUUGGUCAAUGGGCGCGAGCCUGAACCAGCCAAGUCGCGUGAGGGAGGACGGCCCUACGGGUUGCAAACCUCUUUUGCCGGGGAGCAACGUGCGUCACGUGUGGCGCCACUGAUAGUCCCCGGAGAAAAAGCAUCGGCUAACUCCGUGCCAGCAGGCGCGGUAAUACGAAGGAGGCGGGCGUUCUCCGGGUGUAUUGGGUGUAAAGGGUCCGUAGGCGGACCGUUAGGUCAGUGGUCAAAUUGAGGGGCUCAACCCCUUCCCGCCAUGGAAACUGGCGCUCUUGAGUGGAAGAGAGGUAGGCGGAAUGCGUGGUGUAGCGGUGAAAUGCAUAGAUAUCACGCAGAACCCCGAUUGCGAAGGCAGCAUGCCGGCUUCCGACUGACGCUGAGGCACGAAAGCGUGGGGAUCGAACAGGAUUAGAUACCCGGGUAGUC
rnacentral:rRNA from 1 species